CCUGGGAACUGCGUUNUGAACUGGGUGACUAGAGUGUNUCAGAGGGAGGUAGAAUUCCACGUGUAGCAGUGAAAUGCGUAGAGAUGUGGAGGAAUACCGAUGGCGAAGGCAGCCUCCUGGGAUAACACUGACGUUCAUGCCCGAAAGCGUGGGUAGCAAACAGGAUUAGAUACCCUGGUAGUNCACGCCCUAAACGAUGUCGAUUAGCUGUUGGGCAGCAUGACUGCUUAGUAGCGAAGCUAACGCGUGAAAUCGACCGCCUGGGGAGUACGGUCGCAAGAUUAAAACUCAAAGGAAUUGACGGGGACCCGCACAAGCGGUGGAUGAUGUGGAUUAAUUCGAUGCAACGCGAAGAACCUUACCUGGCCUUGACAUGUACGGAACCCUCCAGAGACGGAGGGGUGCCUUCGGGAGCCGUAACACUGGUGCUGCAUGGCUGUCGUCAGCUCGUGUCGUGAGAUGUUGGGUUAAGUCCCGCAACGAGCGCAACCCUUGUCAUUAGUUGCCAUCAUUAAGUUGGGCACUCUAAUGAGACUGCCGGUGACAAGCCGGAGGAAGGUGGGGAUGACGUCAAGUCCUCAUGGCCCUUAUGACCAGGGCUUCACACGUCAUACAAUGGUCGGUACAGAGGGUAGCCAAGCCGCGAGGUGGAGCCAAUCUCACAAAACCGAUCGUAGUCCGGAUUGCACUCUGCAACUCGAGUGCAUGAAGUCGGAAUCGCUAGUAAUCGCAGGUCAGCAUACUGCGGUGAAUACGUUCCCGGGUCUUGUACACACCGCCCGUCACACCAUGGGAGUGGGGGAUACCAGAAGUAGGUAGGGUAACCGCAAGGAGC
rnacentral:rRNA from 1 species